CCUACGGGUGGCAGCAGUGGGGGAUAUUGCACAAUGGGGGGAACCCUGAUGCAGCGACGCCGCGUGGGUGAAGGAGUGCUUCGGCAGGUAAAGCCCUAUCGGCAGGGAAGAAGCAAGACGGUACCUGACUAAGAAGCACCGGCUAAAUACGUGCCAGCAGCCGCGCUAAUACGUAGGGGGCGAGCGUUAUCCGGAUUCACUGGGUGUAAAGGGGGCGUAGACGGCCAUGCAAGCCAGGGGUGAAAGCCCGGGGCCCAAACCCGGGACUGCCCUGGGAACUGGGCGGCUAGAGUGCGGGAGGGGCAGGCGGAAUUCCUGGUGUAGCGUUGAAAUGCGUAGAUAUCAGGAGGAACACCGGCGGCGAAGGCGGCCUGCUGGACCGCGACUGACGUUGAGGCUCGAAAGCGUGGGGAGCGAACAGGAUUAGAUACCCCGGUAGUC
rnacentral:rRNA from 1 species